rnacentral:lncRNA from 1 species
AGCGCCCUUCUUCCCCUCCUAACCUAGCCGUCGUUAGCACCAAGGGUGAGGAGAGGAAGUGUGUCGGCCGCCGCUGCUGUGGUAUUCGACUGGGCACCGUCUCGGGAUCGAAUUCGUGCCGUGGAGGUGUGCGCCGCCUCGUGGAAGUGGUUCCGGUCAACAAUCGGGCGCGCACGACAGUGAACUGAAGGCAAUUUCACGCCGGAGUCAGCGUGCCGCCACGAAUCCACGUAUUACCGUGGGCAGCGCUUCGUCGCGAGUAAUUUUAGGUGAGUACCUCUCCGAUAGCUUCGAAUUUAUCCUCGCAUCGUGUAGAGACAUGAAGAGGAACCUUUUGGGCUCGGAAUGGUGGUCCGGCCAAGUCUGGCGAUGCCGUUGCCGUGGUUGCUCCGGUCACUGCCGGCCUCCGCCGAUUAGAAUACGGGAGAUGUGCGCCGAUCGUCGAUCUAGGGAGGUGCGGUCAAGAUCAGAUCUCAGCGUACCAGUUCGCUAGGUGGGAAUCUGGAGCGUUGAUGCGGUAACAGACGGUUUAGGUUAGAUCGGGGCAGGAGCACCCCUCAUCCGUCGGUUUCGGAUCUGACGAUCAUGGCGGGUUACACGUUACCUAUAUCGCGAUGAUCUAAUCUGGUGCGUCGGGUAUGGAUCGGACUGUCCGAUAUUCCCGAUACCCUUCAACCGAUCAGGUUUUCAAAAGAGCCCUUAUGAAUUUUGGUAAACAACCAGCCAUCCAUUGCGUAUAUAAAGUAAUUACAUGCGUGCUCUACAAAUUUGUAAAUAGACCCCUAGACUCCAUGAAAUAAUUACAAGAACUUGUUUAAUUCAUAGAAAAUUUAUUUUAAUUCCCUUUUAACCCAUUCCAGUUGCCAUAAAUUUGUUUUAAUAUUUUUAUCACUUGGUAACUCUGUUUUAGCAUGAAACAUAGAUUAAAAUUAAUCACUUGGUUAUUUUAGUACCAAACACAUAAAACCUUCGAAAAAUCAUAACUUAUUAUAUGUAACUCCGAAUUUAGUGAUUCUCGAACCUACGAUCUCGUUGCGAAACAUAGAUUAUUAUUAUGUAUUUUGUACUCAUGUUUAGUGUGAUGUUAAUUUCUCCUAUAUCAUGUCUGUUUGUAUUGCUUCGAGUAGACGAACCAGUGACCGAGGAUCCAGGUGUUCAGCAGGUAGAAGUUGCUGAGCAGAAGCUCAUUGAAGGCAAGUUGUGCCAUUGAUCACUUUUAUUUACCCAAUAAUGUUCUCUAUAAUCAUUUUGGCAUGCAUAGGCUUAAUUUUAGUGGGAUCCAAUAGGCCACCCUAGUUUGGUCACCUUUACACCUUGUUUACCCCUGAACUUUUGGGUACUCUUUGCUAUUGCUAUAUAUGGUUUUGGGUGUUGAGA